UACGUAGGGUGCAAGCGUUGUCCGGAAUUAUUGGGCGUAAAGAGCUCGUAGGCGGUCUGUCGCGUCGGCUGUGAAAACCCGGAGCUCAACUCCGGGCCUGCAGUCGAUACGGGCAGACUGGAGUUCGGCAGGGGAGACUGGAAUUCCUGGUGUAGCGGUGGAAUGCGCAGAUAUCAGGAGGAACACCGAUGGCGAAGGCAGAUCUCUGGGCCGUAACUGACGCUGAGGAGCGAAAGCAUGGGGAGCGAACAGG
rnacentral:rRNA from 1 species